UACGUAGGGUCCGAGCGUUGUCCGGAAUUAUUGGGCGUAAAGAGCUCGUAGGCGGUUUGUCGCGUCUGCUGUGAAAUCCCGAGGCUCAACCUCGGGUCUGCAGUGGGUACGGGCAGACUGGAGUGUUGCAGGGGAGACUGGAAUUCCUGGUGUAGCGGUGAAAUGCGCAGAUAUCAGGAGGAACACCGGUGGCGAAGGCGGGUCUCUGGG
rnacentral:rRNA from 1 species